rnacentral:rRNA from 1 species
GAGCACGUAGGUGGGUUUGUAAGUCAGAUGUGAAAGCCUCCUGUUCAACGGGAGAAUUGCAUCUGAAACUACUGAUCUUGAGUGUAGGAGGGGAGAAUGGAACUUCUGGUGGAGCGGUGAAAUGCGUAGAUAUCAGAAGGAACGCCGGCGGCGAAAGCGAUUCUCUGGCCUAUUACUGACACUCAGUGUGCGAAAGCUAGGGGAGCAAACGGGAUUAGAUACCCCGGUAGUCCUAGCCGUAAACGACGGGCACUAAGUAGAGGGGUUUU